UCCUCACUACGAGAAAAUAUAAGCAUUUGUGUGCCUCACCUGAGUCUUUCUUUUUCCCAACGCAGUUAAGCCAAAACUACAGCUAUUAUUCAGAGGGGCGUUCUACUACUCUCCCAUUGACUAGCUAACGUUGUCUCACUCACAGGCGAUCAGCGCAGAGACAGUAGCCUUCCAAGACUAAUCCUGCUGCUGACCUUGACACCCGUUUUAGUAGUACAGAUCCCAGAGGCCCAUUGGAUGAAAACUAUCAGCCGGGAACAAGCUCAACAUCAUCUGGUUUGGAUGAGGAAAAAGGACUUCAUGAGGCUGGCAAGAGACAAAGUGUUCAGUCUGAGUCCAAGGUCAUACAGCUCAUGAAGUUCUGCCAGACCAGCUGCCAUUGGCCCAACCAACACAAGACGAUGCACACCAGCUGAAGAACAUUCCGGACCCUGUCUGGAACAUUCAGCCAACAAAACAUCUAUAUUGUUGUACUGAUGUUGUAGUAUAAUGUAGAAUACCUAGUAUACCCACAACUGUAAUGUUGAUUUGAGUAGCAGCAGAAACCAAUAAUGUUGACUUCCAAAUUCUGGAUUAAUUCAUUGUGAUAUUUAAGAAAUGUAUUCAGAAGUAACUUGCUACAAUCUUACUGAUGAAAAAAAAAAAAAAAAUGAUACAGAGAGACCAACCAUUGACGUCAUGGUUUGAACACACCCAGCACGCAAACAAAAAAAUCCCAAAUACCUCUCAUCACUCAUAAUUAUUUAGGGAGACUGGGAAAACACUCCAAAUAGUGUCUAGCUGUGAAUGUUACCUUUAAAAUGUCUGUGCUGGGAAAUGUAUCAAGAUCACCCAUGUUGCACAAGCCUUAAACUUACAUAAAUAUGUAAAUAAUAAUAAUAAUAACUUACCUGACUUCCCUAGUUAAACAACAUUUAAGCCUUAUAGCCUGUCAGGUUGAUUGCAGAAUGUUAGCCUACAUUUCUGAAAUUGUUGAUUAUUUCAUCUCAAGAU
rnacentral:lncRNA from 1 species